rnacentral:pre_miRNA from 10 species
CUCUGCGGAUGAGGGGUGGUCGGCUAAUCCCGGAUGAGCCUCCAAAUGUGAGACCCCUGAAGCGGGACCCUCACUCUGUCCCACAGAUCAACAGCGACCCCAAUCAACCGCAGGAGACG